rnacentral:rRNA from 1 species
UGUCCAGUGGUGCAUGGCUGUUCUUGACGUCUUACCUCUAAAUAGUAAGUUAUUAAGUCNGGUUUUUAUUCAGGUUUGAGAGCUUCUUAGAGGGACUAUCGGUUUUUGGCCGAUGGAAGUUCGAUGUAAUAACAGGUCUAUGACACCCUUAGUGGUCUGGGCCGCGUGCAAGCUACACUGAUAAAGUCAACAAGUAACUACUAACCUUUACCGAAAGGUAUGGGCAAUCUUUUGAAACUUUAUCGUGGUGGGGAUAGGGCAUUGCAAUG